UACGUAGGGCGCAAGCGUUAUCCGGAAUUAUUGGGCGUAAAGAGCUCGUAGGCGGUUUGUCGCGUCUGCCGUGAAAGUCCGGGGCUCAACUCCGGAUCUGCGGUGGGUACGGCAGACUAGAGUGAUGUAGGGAGACUGGAAUUCCUGGUGUAGCGGUGAAAUGCGCAGAUAUCAGGAGGAACACCGGUGGCGAAGGCGAUCUCUGGCCUUACCUGACGCUCAGGUGCGAAGCUAGGGAGCGAACAGG
rnacentral:rRNA from 1 species